rnacentral:rRNA from 1 species
UACAGAGGGUGCGAACGUUGUUCGGAUUUACUGGGCGUAAAGCGCGUGUAGGCGGUCUCGCAAGUCGGGUGUGAAAGCCCAGGGCUCAACCCUGGAAGUGCAUUCGAUACUGCGAGGCUAGAGUCCCGGAGAGGAUGGUGGAACUCUCGGUGUAGAGGUGAAAUUCGUAGAUAUCGAGAAGAACACCGGUGGCGAAGGCAAUCCCCUGGGCCUGCACUGACGCUCAUGCACGAAAGCGUGGGGAGCAAACAGG